rnacentral:rRNA from 1 species
CAGUCGCCACGGGAAUACGGAGGGGGCUGGCGUUGUUCGGAAUUACUGGGCGUGAAGCGCACGUAGGCGGCUUGGUAAGUUAGAGGUGAAAGCCCGGAGCUCAACUCCGGAAUUGCCUUUAAGACUGCCGAGCUAGUAGGUGAGAGAGGUAAGUGGAAUUCCGAGUGUAGAGGUGAAAUUCGUAGAUAUUCGGAAGAACACCAGUGGCGAAGGCGGCUUACUGGCUCAUUCUAGACGCUGAGGUGCGAAAGCGUGGGGAGCAAACAGGAUUAGAUACCCCCGUAGUCCCUGUCUCUUAUAC